rnacentral:lncRNA from 1 species
AUGGACAAAAACAGAAAAAAUGAUGUCACAAUAUUUUUUAUUAUUUUUCAGUCUUUGAGCGAUUGCAGUAUGACUCCAUUUCCCUGGUGCAUUCAUAUAAUAGUUCACUUGGUGAAAAUAAUGAAGACUAUUUACAAUGCUACCCUGCUUUUUCUGAUGUCCUACACCUGGAAGUUGUGCUUUUUAAGACACUCUAAAUGUCAAAUCCUGAACCACUAGGAGCCUCGGCAAGUUGUCCCCUGUUGCCUUUUUUUCCAGUCCAGCCAUGUGAACACAACGAUCUGGAUUUCGGUAUGUACAGGCAGCCUGUCUCUGCCACCUGCCCAUUUGCCCACUCUCACUCACACAGGUAGGCACCCAGA